rnacentral:rRNA from 1 species
GUCCACGCCGUAAACGAUGGAUACUAGCUGUUGUGCGCAAGUUCAGUGGCUAAGCGAAAGUGAUAAGUAUCCCACCUGGGGAGUACGUUCGCAAGAAUGAAAACUCAAAAGGAAUUGACGGGGGCCCGCACAAGCGGUGGAGCAUGUGGUUUAAUUCGAUGAUACGCGAGGAACCUUACCAAGGCUUAAAUGUAGAUUGACCGAUUUGGAAACAGAUCUUCGCAAGACAAUUUACAAGGUGCUGCAUGGUUGUCGU